UACGUAGGUGGCAAGCGUUUGUCCGGAAUUAUUGGGCGUAAAGAGCUCGUAGGCGGUUUGUCGCGUCUGCUGUGAAAUCCCGAGGCUCAACCUCGGGCCUGCAGUGGGUACGGGCAGACUAGAGUGCGGUAGGGGAGAUUGGAAUUCCUGGUGUAGCGGUGGAAUGCGCAGAUAUCAGGAGGAACACCGAUGGCGAAGGCAGAUCUCUGGGCCGUAACUGACGCUGAGGAGCGAAAGCGUGGGGAGCGAACAGG
rnacentral:rRNA from 1 species